rnacentral:rRNA from 1 species
UACGGAGGGGGCUAGCGUUGUUCGGAAUUACUGGGCGUAAAGCGCACGUAGGCGGCUUUGUAAGUUAGAGGUGAAAGCCCGGGGCUCAACUCCGGAAUUGCCUUUAAGACUGCAUCGCUAGAGUUGUGGAGAGGUAAGUGGAAUUCCGAGUGUAGAGGUGAAAUUCGUAGAUAUUCGGAAGAACACCAGUGGCGAAGGCGACUUACUGGACACACACUGACGCUGAGGUGCGAAAGCGUGGGGAGCAAACAGG